rnacentral:piRNA from 1 species
CAGCAAUGGCUUUCAGGCAAGAGGGC